CACCCCGGCCUCAGGAGUGACUCUCCCUGGGUGACUUGGGUAGGCAGGCCGAACCUGGAUGGGGGUCUGGGGACAGGGCAGGGAGCCUUCGUUCACGUCUGCAGGCCUUUAUCAGGCAGGGCCGGCGAAUGCUAACACUCCAGCCGGCUCUGCCGAGUUCUAAUCCUGCUCCAAACGGGACGUUCACUUUGGAAGAAGAGACAGACAGACAGACAGACAGGCAGAGACGGGGCAGCGAGGAACACGCCAGCCCAGGAAACCCAGCUGGGAGGCCCACAGCUCUGUCCGGAGAGAAGGCCACUUGCGGCCCCGGCCGCUCGGGGAGAAGCCUGCCCAGCCCUUUGGCACCGGAGUCAACAGGCUGCAGGACCUGCAGCCAAUGUCCAGCUGGUUCGGAAAACGCACUCUGGGGCCAGCGCUGCCCCACACCUGCUUGGUUGCCUGCCCUCCCGACAACUUCCUGCCCCGCAUCGCAGUCUGGACGACGUCCUUCAUGGUGACCUUCCCGUUCACCGAUCCUCUCUUCAGCCACAUGGUCUCAAGUCCAUCCCACCUGCUGAGCUGGUCAGCACCUGAGAGACUGGAGACGUUUCCUAAAAGUCACCAGUUCCCCGUCCCCAACACCAUCUGAACGUGAGCUCCUCUCGGACGCCGCUCUGGUCGCAGGGAACUUCAGUUCACGUGUGUUGAAUAAAUGAAUAGAAGAAACUCAAAAU